rnacentral:lncRNA from 1 species
AAAAAAAAAAAUCUAUAGACAAUUGUCAGUUUUGAUUUAUGAAUAAUCUCCCGGUUAACUUUAUUUCCGGGAAAAAUCAGUUUCACUGUUGCAAAAUAGUCACAAAUGUCAUUUGAUCUGUUUCCUUUUAUUCUUUGUACUGGAUGGCCGGGCCUGAAUUGCGAUAACUUGGUCACAAUUUUUUUAUUGAAAAGCUCUUUGCCUUCGUACAUGUUUUUGGAUUGUAAGUUGACACCUAGGCCCUUUCACCAAGUUUCUACUUUGUGAGCUGUUCUGGUUCUGGUCUAGUGUAAGGACUUUGUGACUGUUUCUAAAUGUAAUCUGGUUCUAUUAGCCUCAAUGGGCUAUGGAACAUUUACAGCCAUACAGUUAGA